rfam:Lactobacillus sakei strain 23K complete genome.
UGAGUUAUAGUUUAAUCGGUAGAACUGAUCAUCACUUGAAAUUCCUCCCAAGAAAAAUCAAGUUAGAAACACUAAAUGAUGAUCAAUGCGGGUUCAAUCCCCGCUAGCUCGA